CAGUAGCCGCGGUAAUACGUAGGGUGCAAGCGUUAAUCGGAAUUACUGGGCGUAAAGCGUGCGCAGGCGGUUAUAUAAGACAGAUGUGAAAUCCCCGGGCUCAACCUGGGAACUGCAUUUGUGACUGUAUAGCUAGAGUACGGCAGAGGGGGAUGGAAUUCCGCGUGUAGCAGUGAAAUGCGUAGAUAUGCGGAGGAACACCGAUGGCAAAGGCAAUCCCCUGGGCCUGUACUGACGCUCAUGCACGAAAGCGUGGGGAGCAAACAGGAUUAGAUACCCCAGUAGUCCCUGUCUCUUAUAC
rnacentral:rRNA from 1 species